rnacentral:rRNA from 1 species
CCUACGGGCGGCAGCAGUGGGGAAUAUUGCACAAUGGGGGGAACCCUGAUGCAGCGACGCCGCGUGAGUGAAGAAGUAUUUCGGUAUGUAAGGCUCUAUCAGCAGGGAAGAAAAUGACGGUACCUGAGUAAGAAGCCCCGGCUAACUACGUGCCAGCAGCCGCGGUAAUACGUAGGGGGCAAGCGUUAUCCGGAUUUACUGGGUGUAAAGGGAGCGUAGACGGCAGAGCAAGUCUGGAGUGAAAGGCGGGGGCUCAACCGCGGGACUGCUUUGGAAACUGCACGGCUGGAGUGCAGGAGAGGUAAGCGGAAUUCCUAGUGUAGCGGUGAAAUGCGUAGAUAUUAGGAGGAACACCAGUGGCGAAGGCGGCUUACUGGACAGUAACUGACGUUGAGGCUCGAAAGCGUGGGGAGCAAACAGGAUUAGAUACCCUGGUAGUC